GACGAACGCUGGCGGCGUGCUUAACACAUGCAAGUCGAGCGGUAAGGCCCUUUCGGGGGUACACGAGCGGCGAACGGGUGAGUAACACGUGGGUGACCUGCCCUCAGCUCUGGGAUAAGCCUGGGAAACCGGGUCUAAUACUGGAUAUGACUCCAUGACGCAUGUUGUGGGGUGGAAAGCCUUGUGCGGCUGAGGAUGGGCCCGCGGCCUAUCAGCUUGUUGGUGGGGUGANGGCCUACCAAGGCGACGACGGGUAGCCGGCCUGAGAGGGCGACCGGCCACACUGGGACUGAGACACGGCCCAGACUCCUACGGGAGGCAGCAGUGGGGAAUCUUGGACAAUGGGCGCAAGCCUGAUCCAGCCAUGCCGCGUGAGUGAAGAAGGCCUUAGGGUUGUAAAGCUCUUUUACCAGGGACGAUAAUGAC
rnacentral:rRNA from 1 species